rnacentral:rRNA from 1 species
AGCAGCCGCGGUAAUUCCAGCUCCAAUAGCGUAUAUUAAAGUUGUUGCAGUUAAAAAGCCCGUAGUUGAAUUUCGGGGUUCUACCGUUGGUCGGGCAAUAGUCUGUACUGGCGUGUGGAAUUUCUACCUUCUGGGGGAACCCAUCAUGUUAUUAAUUUAGCGUGGUGGGAAACCAGGACCUUUACCUUGAAAAAUUAGAGUGUUCAAAGCAGGCUUACGUCUGAAUACAUUAGCAUGGAAUAAUAAAAUAGGACGGUGGUCCUGUUUUGUUGGUUUCUGAAUCACCGUAAUGAUUAAUAGGGAUAGUUGGGGGCAUUAGUAUUCAAUUGUCAGAGUGAAAUUCUUGGAUUUAUUGAAGACUAACUUCUGCGAAAGCGUUU